UACGGGGGGGGCAAGCGUUGUUCGGAAUUACUGGGCGUAAAGGGCGAGUAGGUGGCCAUCUAAGUCAGACGUGAAAUCCCCCGGCUUAACCUGGGAACUGCGUCUGAUACUGGACGGCUAGAGUAUGGGAGAGGGAUGUAGAAUUCCAGGUGUAGCGGUGAAAUGCGUAGAUAUCUGGAGGAAUACCGGUGGCGAAGGCGGCAUCCUGGACCAUUACCGACACUGAACCGCGAAAGCUAGGGGAGCAAACGGG
rnacentral:rRNA from 1 species